rfam:Eubacterium nodatum ATCC 33099 contig00010, whole genome shotgun sequence.
GGGCGCUUAGCUCAGCUGGGAGAGCAUCUGCCUUACAAGCAGGGGGUCAUAGGUUCGAGCCCUAUAGCGCCCA